UUUAAACUGAUCGGCCGAAAAUGGGCUUAAGGGAAGGAGUAGUGUAAUAAUUUGAGCCCAUUCUUGUAUUGUUCGAAAACAUAUAGCCCAUAAGGAAAAGUUCUCGGCCCAUUGCGCCCUUAAGCUUAUUCACGACCCAAUUUAGCAUAAAGGAAUGGGUUUGAGUCUAUUAAAGUUAUUUGGAUUUGUUAUGGCCCAAUAAGGCCCAUUAGAAAUAAGAUGGAUCAUUUUAGGCCCAAAGUAGUCAAGUUGAAAGUUUAUUGGUUCGUUAGACCCAAUAAGAGAAUACUAGUCCACAAUAAUCUUGAACCGGGAUUUCUAAGGUUUCCAACCCUUAGUUUAACAUAUGAGAUGUAUUUGAAUGAGAAUAGUGAUGGGUUUUGUACAAACAAUCCUAUGUGUGCAUGCAACCCUAGAAUUAGAUCUAUGUUUUCACUGUUAGAUACACAAUAUAAUGAACACAUAACGGAACCCUAGUAUGCCCUAGUAUUUUUCGAAAUUCAUAUAGUAGAUUAGAUUACAUACCUUUUGUUUUUAUAUUGUAAUAACAACUCAAAUCUUCAAACUCUAAGUCUUGAAAGCAAGUACCACAAGUGUAGUACCUCUAAUGGCUCACAAACACCAAGAGCAAAUGGAGAGGCAAGAGAGAGAGAGAGAGAGAGAGAGAGAGAGAGAGAGAGAAGAGGUAUGAAAUUCGUCCCUAGGAACCCUAGACAAGGCAUGGAUGAAUUCUUAUGUCCUUAGGGGUCUUUAUAUAGGUGGAGAGAUUAAGGUUUCAGUCCUUAUCCUUAUCUGGUUGCUUGCCCACCAAGUAACCAUAAGAUAAGCCUUGAAAACCCUUAUCCUUAUCCUUUGGACGAUUUCAAGGAUAUCUUAUCCCUUGAAUCGUCCAACCUAUAUUUAGGAUAACCAUUACCAUAUUUUGUAACUAUCACAUAAUUGCAAUUCAGUCCCUCUAGUUUAAUUAAUUACACUUGAUCACUAAAUUAAUUAUUGACCAAUAUUAAUUAAACAAAUAUGAUUUCUCCUUUAAUAUAUUAUUCUUAUAACAUAUUAAUAAAUCAUAAUAACCUCUUUCUCUAUUAUUUCUCCAGUCAAGUUGCUUUGGUGAAGGCAACCCAAAAGGACCAUGCACAAUCGGGUCAAGUACUUACCAAAUAUGGUUACGGGCUUAGACACUAAUCCAACAGUCUCCCACUUGGAUAAGUCUAGUAACCACAAAUGCAAGUACAACUCGAUUAGCAAUCGUAUCUCUCAAAGAAGCUGUCGAACUCUGAUCUUAUCAGUAACCUUUCCUUUAGAUAAGGGAUCAUAUAUUCCUCAAUUCUAUAUAUCGUAUAGACGUGAGACAUGGAUUGAAAUCAUUCUCUCAGUCUAUGUGUUGUUCCCCGAUUUCUGAUUUACGACAACUGACUAAUUGAACAAAUCAAAUUAGCCCUAGACCGGCUAAGCAUUUACGUUUGUCAUCACUAAAUCAUCGAGGGGCCCACAGAUAUCGCUUUUAUCCCACUUUGGGUAAAAGGAACGGAUAAACUUCGACUCAAUGCUUGCUUGCACUCACUCACCAAAUCACACACAACAAUAAGUUUUAUAACACCAAGUUACUGGUGUGUUUACAUAUUAUCAAUGUGUAACCGAUUCGCAAGAUACAACUCACACAUCUCAGUUUCAAGAAUACAAGAUAUUAUCGUCUCACAAAUCGCUCGUGAUAAAAUCCAUGAAGCAAUCCAAGUGAGCGUGGGUUUAAUCCAAUGCUCAAAAUCAUAUUCAUAAGCACUCAUGAACGUUGCAUCAAACCUUUGCUAUGUCUAAUACACUUUAGACAAUCUAAAAACCAAUUCAUGACAGUCUUCAUUCAUACCUACUUCCAACAUAUGAACGACUGUGGACCAUUCGAAUAAUUUGAUUAUUUUUAAUAAGCUCAAUUAUUCUGGAAGUCAAAACAUGCAAAGUGAAACACAAGAAUAAUACUAAUCCUAUAUGGUCUCAAACCUUUAAGUAUAAAUAAAACACCUUUUAUUUAUCACCAUAUCGAUUACUCAUUAUCCAUUAUUUAAUAUUUCAGAUAAUCAACUUUAUAACUCGAAUCAUAACCACAAUUGUCCCAUGCUCCAAGCAUGCACACUUUGGUUUCCUAUGGUCCAUACUUUGUGAAAUAGAUCAAUUGAAAAACUUUUCAAAUGAAACUCAUUUCACAAUCCCCAAUCCUUAUAAUUAGUGUAAGAAUACCAAAUUCUUGCCAUCUUUUAGUAUAUGUCACAUUCUAAUAUUUUAUGUAAUGAUCCUCUUGUGAAGUCACGGCACAAAAAUCACAAAGACUCAGCCAACGAAAUCACAAGGUACUCUAUCAAAAAUUGUUAUAGAACAAUUCUACAGAUGUGAUGUCUCUCACUCAAAGUACAUUCCUUUUGAACAUCCUUUAGCAUAAAAUUUUCUAAUCUAUACAUAAAUUCUUAAUUUCCAACUCCCAAUUAUGGAAACAUUUCCAUAUUUACCAUAUGACAACUCAUUCUUAAUAGAAUCUUAUCUAUUCAUAAAUAAUGUCGAUAUGGUCCAUUCAAUACCAUACUUCCAACUACUCACAAGCGACUAAUCCUCAGUGAACUUUGGAUCAUCCUUUGAUAGUUGUUUAAUUAUCUUAGUCAAAAUCGAUUCUUGUCCUUUUUCCCUCUUAAUGCGCUAGACAUUUGGAAAAAAUUUAGAAUGGUCAAAUAUUAUAGCACUUGCAAUCGAUCCUUUACCCGAAGUGUGUGGGACACGAUGCAUAAUGUAUUACAUAAAGAUACGAUACUCUAUCAAUCUUCUGUCAUAAUAUUUUAUGUGUCACGUUCUUACAAUUUAACUAUGAAGAGGGAUAUUGUAACAACGUAAAUUUCAAAAUAAAAAUUUCAUUCUUGUCACAACCAUUUUCACAUAAAAUGUUUUAUGAAAUAUCCACUAAUAGUUAUCAAAACAUAUCGUAUCCCAAGAUCACAAAAUCAAAUCCUCUCUCUAGUGUGUACGAGUCAUGCCGGCGCCUUUCCACGGUCCUCGCUAGUACCUGAAACACAUAACACAACAACUGUAAGCAUAAAUGCUUAGUGAGUUCCCCAAAAUACCCUUAUACACAUACGCCUUUCCAGGCCAUACUCUACACGACCUUCCGGUCCAUGUGUCUCAGGGGACUUCUGUCCCAGUCCAAGUAGACCUUCCGGUCCUACUCGUAUCGACCUUCCAGUCCAUGACUCCCUGACCUUCCGGUCCACGUCAUAAUGCCUUAUGGCCCAUAGCAUACAUAUCACAUACAUAACGCAUAAAGAACAUGCAACUCAUAACAUACAAAACAUGCAACUCAUAGCAUACAAGACCUUCCAGUCACACAUAAGUACCUUCCAAGGUAUAGUAUAGUAAGAAGACUCACCUCUGAUAUCUCGGUAAGUCUCUGUCUCGGUAGAAACGUGAUCUAGCCUCUGCCUACUCACAUAAAGCAAAUACUCCCAUAAAUAUAACUAUACUCCAACCAUUCUUAACAUCCUUAGAAGGAUAAAAGACCAUUUUACCCCUCUUCUAGCUCAAAAGGCCUCACUGUUGACCAAACCCUAAGGUCAACGAAAGUCAACUGUCAAACUCUGACCCGACUCGUCGAGUGCACUAGGGCGACUUGGCGAGUCUACACGUCCACUGACUCUCAUAGUCCUUCUCUUGGAAUGUCGAGUCCUUCUCUUUACUCGACGAGUCACACUUGGCAUGAAUCGCGGGGCCACCCCGACUCAACUCGCCGAGUCUCAAGAACAACUCGGCGAGUACCGCCUUGAACCCCAAUUCUCUAAUCCCCUUCUGACUCACUGAGUUAUCCCCCAACUCAACAAGUCUACUCACAAAGCUACUCACGUGAAAACCUUACCCUACUCACCGAGUCUCAAGAACAACUCGGCGAGUUCAAACCAUGCAUCAUCUCUAUUGAACUCCUGGGGUCAGAUCUGUGCCCCUAACCCACAGAUAUGGCCUUCCCAAGCACGGAAGUCAUGUAAAGCUCGAAACUUGAUGCUUCUAUAAAUACAUAAUGGCAUCAAAUGGUGAUUUAGUCCCAAAAAUGGCAACCUAAGUCCAAUCACCCCAAAAAGACUCAUAAAGCUUCAUGGGUUGAAGUCUCUGGACCCCUUUGAGUCCAGAUCCAAAGCACAAAUCGAGAAGGGACUAAAUACUCUACAUAUUCUUCUUCUAAAGGGUUUAAAAACCCAGACUCUAUGAAUCAACACCCAAAACUGGAGAAGGUCCGAAGGAAUACCUUAAUAUGAAGCCUUUGAUCUCUGAAGACACUAGAUUUGCACUUCCUUCAGCCUUCUUUUGCCUUGGUCACCGUCUCCUUCAAAUUUCACAAACAAAUGAUCAACAAUGGCCUCUCUUCUCCUCACAAGCGAUCUAGGACUCUCUCUGGGGUGUGGUAGCCGCAAUGGACGGCCAUAAGGGUCUUUAAAUAGGUCUCAAACCCUAGAAAUUAGGGUUUCAUUAAAUAGCGUGGACUCGACGAGGUCUCAUGAACUCGCCGAGUCCAGCUGUGAACUCGCAUCCAAAACCGCGACCAUACUCGGCGAGUCUAGAUGCCAACUCACCGAGUUCCCCCACAAACCCAAAAAUAACGGAACAAAAUCUCAUACCUGGAAAUUCGAGUGUUACAAUUCUCCCCCACUAGAAUUAGACUUCGCCCCCGAAGUCUCACUCUGCAAACAACUCCGGAUACUGCUCCCGCAUCUCUCACUCCGGUUCCCAAGUCAACUCUGACCCUUUCUGAUGCUGCCACUGGACCUGCACCAGNNNNNNNNNNNGGACCUGCACCAGAGGCACUUCCUUGUUCCUCAAAACCUUGAUCUUCCGAUCCCUGAUCGCCACCGGUCUCUAAGCAUAAUUCAAGCUCGCAUCUACCUGAAUAUCUUCUAAUGGCACCACUGCCGACUCGUCGGCUAUACACUUUCGCAACUACGAUACGUGGAAAGUGUCAUGAAUCUGACCCAACUCUGUUGUCAACUCCAAACGAUAGGAUAUCCUGCCUACCCUCGCAAUCACCCUGAAAGGACCAAUAUAUCGGGGCCCCAACUUGCCCCUCUUCCUGAAUCGGAUCACUCCUUUCCAAGGAGAGACCUUUAGGAGCACGAAGUUACCAACCUGAAACUCGAGCUCGGACCGGCUUCUGUCCGCAUAACUCUUCUGCCGACUCUGAGUGGUCAACAACCUCUGUCUGACCUGCUGGAUCUGCUCUGUCGUCUGAAGCACAAUCUCGGUGCUUCCCAUUACACGCUGCCCUACUUCUCCCCAGCAAAUAGGGUUCGACACCUCCUCCCAUACAACAACUCAAAGGGUGACAUGCCAAUGCUCGAAUGAUGGUUGUUGUUAUAAGAAAACUCCGUCAAGGGCAAAUACGUGUCCCAACUCCCUCCGAAAUCCAAUACACAUACCCGAAGCAUAUCCUCAAGCGUCUGAAUCGUCCGCAAUCUGGCCNGUCCGUCUGUGGGUGGUAUGCGGUACUGAAAUGAAGUCUCGUACCCAACUCCUCGUGAAACUUCUUCCAAAAUAUGGAAGUAAAUCGCACAUAUCGAUAUGAAACAAUCGAGAUCGGAACUCCAUGCCGCGAUACCACCUCCCUCACAUACAACUCUGCCAGCCUCUCAGCAGAAGAGCUCUCACUGAUAGCAAGAAAGUGGGUGCUCUUCGUCAACCUGUCCACAAUCACCCAAAUUGCAUCGACGCCCCUCGCGGUCCUUGGCAAUUUGGUGAUGAAAUCCAUGGUAAUUUGUUCCCAUUUCCAGUCGGGAAUCUCCAAUGGAUGCAGUUUACCAUGUGGACGCUGGUGCUCGGCCUUAACCCUGCGACAUGUCAAGCAUCUCUCUACAAACCAUGCGACAUCCCUCUUCAUACAGGGCCACCAAUAUUCCUUUUUCAGGUCCAAAAUACAUCUUAGUGGCCCCGGGAUGGAUCGAGAAUUCUGAUCGAUGAGCUUCUUCCAUCAAAAUGGUACGCGUUCCGCCCAUGGACGGUACCCAUAUCCGACCCUAAAAGGUCAACAGCCCCCGGCUAUCGGUAACGAACUCCGAUACCAGCCCGACAACUCACUCUCUCUUUUGGCUUUCCGACCUAACAACCUCAGCUUGGGCCCCACGGAUAGCAUCCAACACCGGGGUCAUCACUGUCAAUCUCAAACAAACAUCCCGCAAUGGGGUGCCCUCCGCCCUUCGGCUCAGAGCAUUGGCUACAACAUUAGCCUUGCCCGGGUGGUACAGGAUCUCACAAUCAUAAUCUUCGACCACGUCCAACCACCUCCUCUGGCGCAUAUUCAGGUUGGGCUGAUCCAUCAAAUACUUCAAGCUCUUGUGGUUCGUGUAUAUUGUAGACCGAACUCCAUACAGAUAAUGUCGCCAAAUCUUGAGGGCGAACACUACCGCUCCCAGUUCCAAAUCAUGAGCAGGAUAUCUCGACUCAUGAGGCUUGAGCUGCCUCGAUGCAUAUGCUAUCACAUGCCCUCUGCAUAAGCACCGCUCCCAAUCUGGAUAUCGAUGCAUCACAAUAUACCACAAAAUCCUCCAUUCCAUCCGGAAGGGCUAACACUGGGGCCUCGCAUAACUUCUGGCGAAGUGUCUCAAAUGAGGUCUGCUGCUCCGGACCCCAUGAAAAUGCAACACCCUUCCGGGUCAUCUUGGUGAGUGGCACCGCGAUCUUGGAGAAAUCCUUAAUAAAUCUCUGAUAAUAGUCGGCCAAUCCCAGAAAGCUCCUGAUCUCGGUGGGUGAUCUCGGCACCUCCCACCUCAUGAUUUCCUCAAUCUUGGCCGGAUCGACCAAUAUCCCAUUCUUAUUGACGAGAUGUCCCAAGAACUGAACCUCUCGUAACCAGAACUCACACUUGGAGAAUUUGGCAUACAACCUCUCCGAUCUCAAAACUCCAAUGAUCUCCCUCAAAUGCUCCUCAUUUUGCUCUCUGGUCUUCGAAUAUACCAAAAUAUCAUCAAUGAAUAUGAUCACCGACCAAUCCAGCAUCGGCAUGCACACCCUGUUCAUGAGAUCCAUGAACGCAGCCGGUGCAUUGGUGAGCCCAAAAGGCAUCACCACAAACUCGUAAUGCCCAUAACGAUUUCUGAAUGCUGUCUUCUGGAUUUCUCCUUCCCGAACCCUCAUUUGAUGAUAACCUGACCUCAAGUCUAUCUUGGAGAACCAAGAUGCCCUCUGUAACUGAUCAAACAGAUCAUCGAUCCUCGGCAACGGAUAUCGGUUCUUGACCGUCAACUUGUUCAACUCCCGGUAAUCAAUACACAUCCGAUGUGAACCAUCCUUCUUCUUGACAAAAAGGAUCGGUGCUCCCCAAGGUAAGCUACUCGGUCGAAUAAAUCCCUUCCCCAACAACUCCUGAAGCUGUGAGGAUAACUCCUGCAUCUCAGGCGGCGCGAGGCGAUAAGGUGCCUUGGCGAUAGGGGCUGCUCCCGGAACCAAAUCGAUACGGAACUCCACUUGCCUCUCCGGGGGCACACCCAGAAGUUCCUUGGGAAAAACAUCCGGAAACUCAGACACUAUCAGAACCUCAUCAAUCGAACUUGGCCUCCCCGCGGCCACUCGCGUGUCCAUCACAUAGGCUACGAAUCCACUGCAGCCUUGCUGCAAGCUCUUCCUUGCCCUGGCAGCCAAAAAAAACACUGACCCACAUCAGGUCCCCUCGCCAUACACCGUAAGCACUCCCCCACUAGGGUCUCAUAUCAUCACCAACUGACGCUCGCAGUCUAUAACAGCUCCAAACCAGCUCAACCAGUCCAUGCCCACUAUAACACACACGUCCCCCAUCGCAAUCGGGACCAGCUCUAUCGGAGAUUCCACACCGAAGAUCUCAAGGAUACACCCUCGAAUCACCUCCGAAGCAUACACUACUCGCUCAUCAGCUAUAGAAACUCGCAGAGGUUGACUCAAUGCCUCUCGACGGAUACUAAUGUGCUGACUAAAUGCCCAGGAAACAAAUGACCGACUCGCACCCGAGUCAAAUAAUACCAAAGCAGGUACAAAACUCACAAGAAAAGUACCUACGCAUAUCAUCAUAUAAGUACAAUAUUAUAAACAAAAUAUAAAAUACAGAAUACAUACCAGCCACAACAGUCGGCGCAGUGCGGACCUCCUCCGCAGUCAACUGAAAAGCUCUCCCACGAGCCUUUGGAGCCUCGGCCUUCACCGGUCGAACCUCGGUAACCCUAGCAGCAGGCGCAAAUCCCUGCGCUGAUCCCUGGUGUAGCUAAGGGCACUCGGCCUUCCGAUGGCCGGUCUGGUUGCAAUGGAAGCAAACCAUAAAUACUUUGGGGCAAUCCCUGGCGAUAUGCCCCUCAUUGCCACAUUUGUAGGAAGCACCCGAUCGACAGGCCCCCACAUGACCCUUGCCGCACUUCCCGCAAGUGCGGCCCUUCUGGCCUCCCAUCCUUGAAUCGGUGGACUUGGUCCGCUUGGCUGUCGGAUGAGACUGAGCCGGUCGCCGAUCCAUCCUCUGAGACUCGGCCUCCUCCCUGGCCUGAGUCUCCAACUCAAUCUCCCUCUUCCGGGCAUUUUCGUGGAGCUCAGCAAAUGUCCGGUACGUCGAGCUCGACACGAACUCCCGAAUGUCCCUCCUCAGAAUACCCAAAUACCGGCUCAUCCGUGCCUGCUCAGUAGACACUUGCUCAGGGCAGAACAUUGCCCUCUCAUGAAACUUCCGAGUGACCAGAGUAACCGAAUCAUUACCCUGCUUAAGGGUCAAGAACUCCUAAAUCAUCUGUUCCCUCUCCACCGUGGGAACAUACUCGUCUCUGAACAUGGUGGUGAACCUCUCCCAGGUCACCGCUGAAAUCUCUGCAAGAGUGAGGUUCGCUGUCACGAACUUCCACCAAUCCUUCGCUCCCAAGUGAAGCUGGUUCAAAGCGAACCGUACCCUUAGAUGCUCCGGACAUGAGCACGUAUAGAAGCAUCCCUCAAUGUCAACAAUCCAUCUCAUCGCAGCAAUCGGAUCCUGCGUCCCAUCAAACUCGGAUGGCUUCGUGUUGCUAAACUCCCAGAAAAACAACGAGUCACCUCCCUGAGGCCUGGCAGCAGCCACAGNCUCAGUCACCACGGCGUACCGCUUAUCAAAAGUCUCCAAUAGUGUGGUCUUGAUAGACCCAAACAUCUCCGAAAUCUCGACCCUGAUCGCCGCAGCCACCUCAUCGUGGAUCAUCUGACGAAGUUCCUCGUCACUCACACCGCCCGCCUCAGCUCUGUGGUGUGUUCCAACCAUGAUGCCUCUGAAAUACACCAAAAAAUAUUAGAGACUCGAUCGAGCAUACUCAUACUCGAUGACGCAACCCUACUCGUCCUCCGCUGCCCAAAAGAUUCUUACUGGGAAUGCUCGCUGAUCCGGUGUCUUCAGUAGCAGGGGCCCAAUACUACUGACCACACCACAUUAGUAUUCACUCCAAGUCCUCCUCCUUGGAUCCUGGAUUAUGAGUACUCUACUCUUAUGAGCUCCUAACUGCUAUCCACUCGCUCUCAAAGCAUCUCAGCAGUAGAAAUCUCCUAGGCUAAGGCAUCACAAAUCAGGCCACUCUAGUCCUAAUAUGUAUACCUAGCCUUCUCUAGCAUGCAUAAUGUAACAUAACAUAUCUCAUAACACAUAAUGCAAGGGUACUUUUGGGAAUUCACCGUUCCGGCGUUGGCUGAUCGUACACACGACUCUGCUCUGUUUAUCUCAAAACUCUUUUACUUUUUACAAAAAAUUUACUUCCUUAUGAAAAUUUUUCUCAAAUCCUCAGUUUAAGUUCAGAUACGUACGAAGGUGCACCCGAAUCUCUCAAACCAAGGCUCUGGUACCAACUUGUUGUUGGGUUAUGAGCAUUCUAACACUCCUAAGUGUACAUGCAACCCUAAAUACCUUGGAUCUAUGUUUUCUCUAUUAUACAUGCAAAUAAGAACAUCCAAGGUAUUAUCCUAAUCUAUCAUACAAAACAAUGACUAUAGCAAGAUAGAAUACAUACCUCUUUGGUGUAGAAAGUCUUCAUGAAGCUUGAGUGCCUAGUGCCCCAAGUGUGACACCUCAAAUGGUUCACACAACACCAAAUACACUUGGAAUAACUUGAGAGAAUUCNNNNNNNNNNNNNNNNNNNNNNNNNNNNNNNNNNNNNNNNNNNNNNNNNNNNNNNNNNNNNNGGAUCCAUGGGUACAAAUACACCAUGGAGCAUCCAUGGACCAUCCUAUGGGUUUUAGCCCAACUUGAUUAUCCAUGGAGCAUUAGCCCACUAUACAAGUAUGGAUGAUUUACACAAUCACCCCAUAUAUUUAAUUAGUCUUCUUUUGAUCACUUAAUUAAUCCUAGAUUAAUUCUUGAUCAAUACUAAUUAAAUAAUCUCAUUAUUCUUAUUAUUAAUAUACUAGAACUUAUAAUAUAUUAAUAACCAUAAGUGUCUUAUUUCUCUCAUUAUAGUCUAUCCAAAUGCAUGAUGUCAUGCAACCCAAAUGGACCAUGCCGAGUCAGGUCAAGUCUUACGAAUUAUAGUUAUGGACUUAGACAUUAAUCCAACACUUGUAACAACGUAAAUUUCAAAAUAAAAAUUUCAUUCUUGUCUCAACCAUUUUCACAUAAAAUGUUUUAUCAAAUAUCCACUAAUAGUUAUCAAAACAUAUCAUAUCCCAAGAUCACAAAAUCAAAUCCUCUCUCUAGUGUGUACGAGUCACGCCGGCGCCUUUCCACGAUCCUCGCUAGUACCUGAAACACAUAACACAACAACUGUAAGCAUAAAUGCUUAGUGAGUUCCCUAAAAUACCCUUAUACACAUACGCCUUUCCAGGCCAUACUCUACACGACCUUUUGGUCCAUGUGUCUCAGGGGACUUCCGUCCCAGUCCAAGUAGACCCUCCGGUCCUACUCGUAUCGACCUUCCGAUCCAUGACUCCCUGACCUUCCGGUCCACGUCAUAAUGCCUUCCGGCCCAUAGCAUACAUAUCACAUACAUAACGCAUACAGAACAUGCAACGCAUAACAUACAAAACAUGCAACUCAUAGCAUACAAGACCUUCCGGUCACACAUAGGUACCUUCCUAGGUACAGUAUAGUGAGAAGACUCACCUCUGAUAUCUCGGUAAGUCUCUGUCUCGGUAGAAACGUGAUCUAGCCUCCGCCUAAUCACAUAAAGCAAAUACUCCCAUAAAUAUAAAUAUACUCCAACCUUUCUUAACAUCCUCAGAAGGGUAAAAGACCAUUUUACCCCUCUUCUGGCUCAAAAGGCCUCACUGUUGACCAAACUUUAAGGUCAACGAAAGUCAACUGUCAAACUCUGACCUGACUCGUCGAGUGUACUUGGGUGACUCGGCGAGUCUACACGUCCACUGACUCUCCUAGUCCUUCUCUUGGCACGUCGAGUCCUUCUCUUUACUCGAUGAGUCACACUUGGCAUGAAUCGCAGGGCCACCCCGACUCAACUCGUCGAGUCUCAAGAACAACUCGACGAGUACCGCCUUGAAACCCAGUUCUCUAAUCCCCUUCUGACUCACUGAGUUAUCCCCCAACUCGGAAAGUCUACUCACAGAGCUACUCACGAGAAACCCUUACCCUACUCGCCGAGUCUCAAGAACAACUCGGCGAGUUCAAGCCAUGCACCAUCUCUAUUGACCUCCUGGGGUCAGAUCUGUGCCCCUGACCCACCGAUCUGGCCUUCCUAAGCACGAAAGUCACGUAAAGCUCGAAACUUGAUGCUUAUAUAAAUACAUAAUGGCAUCAAAUGCUGAUUUAGUCCCAAAAAUGGCAACCUAAGUCCAAUCACCCCAAAAAGACUCAUAAAGCUUCAUGGGUUGAAGUCUCUGGACCCCUUUGAGUGCAGAUCCAAAGCACAACUCGAGAGGGGACUAAAUACUCUAAAUAUUCUUCUUCUAAAGGGUUUAAAAACCCAGACUCUAUGAAUCAACACCCAAAACUGGAGAAGGUCCGAAGGAAUACCUUAAUAUGAAGCCUUUGAUCUCUGAUGACACUAGGUUUUCACUUCCUUCAGCCUUCUUUUUCCUUGGUCACCUUCUCCUUCAAAUUUCACCAAGAAAUGAUCAACAAUGGCCUCUCUUCUCCUCACAAGCGAUCUAGGACUCUCUCUGGGGUGUGGUAGCCGUAAUGGACGGCUAUAAGGGCCUUUAAAUAUGUCUCAAACCUUGGAAAUUAGGGUUUCAUUAAACAGCGUGGACUCGCCGAGUCCACUCAUGAACUCGCCGAGUCCAACUGUGAACUCGCAUCCAAAACCAUGACCAUACUCGGCGAGUCUAGACGCCAACACGCCGAGUUCCCCCACAAAACCCAAAAAUAAAGGAACAAAAUCUCAUACCUGGAAAUCCGGGUGUUACAGAUACCAUAAUCAUAAUCGAAAUUUAAGAACACACUAUGUAUCCUUUGACUAAAUUUAUUAAAAUUUCUCAAUCUAAGCUUUAGAUUUUGAACGAAGUACAAUAUUCUCUCCCUUAAUUAUAGAAAAACAACUUUUCAACUCUUACAACUUUGCAAAGUAUAACUCUUGUUUUCUAUAAUUAAUAUUGCUAACUUGCAAUACUUACCAUAAUAAUCAUGCUCCCACUUACAUGAUGAUUAUUUCGUUACUAGCAUAACACUUAUGCUCCCACUAGCUUCGACAUGUAUUCAGAAAUCAGCUGGACUUCUAGAAAAGAAUUUCUUAAGUUCAUAUUUCUAAUACUAGAUGCUUCGAUAAGACUCUAUCUAAGCUUCUUAAACUCAUACACUUUCCCUUGGAAAGCUCAUAUGUAUAUGUCUAACAAUUCUAGGACUCAUAUCAAUAAGUCCAAAAUGUUCAGACCCAUUUGCCAUUUCCCACAAUCCGAACUAUGAAGAGGUAUGUCGUAAUCAUAGUUGAAUUUGAGAAACACAAAUUACAUAAUGUUAUCUUCAAAAUCUCUCUUAGUGAAAGCGUUUCCUCAUAAUCAUUCUCAUGAAUGAGAAGAAACCUUAUGACACUUAGAUUUUGUGGUGUAUACGUUCCCAUCCAUGUGAAUUUGUCAUAACCAUAAUCACAAGAUAAUGUCAGUGACAAAUCCAAACUGUUAUGGAUAGAACUUGUUCUUCUUAAUUUCUUGCCAUCAAGGGUCCCACCAUUACUUCCAAGUUAUUGAGCAGCCCACCCCUUCAUUUCAAUGUACUUUCCACUGAACAAGGUGUCUUGCCCCUAUACAAUCCAUUGAGAACUCGUAGCACUCACAUACACAGAAAAAUCAAUUGGAAUGGCACAGAAAACAAAAUAGUGUCAACACGAUAGGUUGUAAACCUCAAGUCAUGUGCUAGUGAUGAUUGAUAAGGUUUAUUCUUGAUUUGUUCUUGAAGCCUUUCAAGACCAUUAAUACUACCACUGACUCCUUGACAUAUAAGAUUCUCUUGUCAAGAACCAUUUCUUAAAAAAGAAAUUUUCAAGAGUUAGUGUAGCUUUCAUCAAGACAAAACACUUCAUAUGAUUGGUCCUAGUUGGUAUUUGUCUUAUCCAAGACAUCACAACUUACCAAUUUCAAAUGUGCACGAAUAAGAAAAAUCCUUUUCCAAAUUCCACAUUUGAUGAAUGCUAUAGACCUUCUUAAGACUUGUCACUCAAUUCACAAUCUUGGAGUAUAACUCUAAGACUUGAUAUUGGAACGAAGUAUGAUUGACUUCUUAAUUUAACCAUUUCCACAAUUCCCGAUUCCUCUUCUUAGACACACAAAUUCUACUGAGACUCGCUUAAAGGAUCAAUUGAGAUAUGUUUCUUAAUCAUUAAUACCUAUCAUAAAACAUAAUAAAAGGUACUCUCCCUUCUUCUUAGAGCGGAGAAACUUUUAUCUUUCUGCCUACUUGACUCUUCUUAUUCGUUCUGCUAUUGAUUGAAACUCUUUUAAUCAACCCAAAAUUAUACUCAAUCUUAUAAGUAUAACCAUAUUCACUAAACUUUAGUAAAUCAUGACGAAUAUCUUUGUUACUCUUGUGGUAGACUUAAUCAACGUACGACCUAGUGUACUCAAUCUUUCAGUCCUUAAAUUGACACUUUGUCAUAAAUUAGUCUAAAUUUCCCAAAUGUGAAAGUUUUCAUUCAUCAUGCAAUACUUGUUGCGUGAUUCCAAGUUCCUAUCCACUUGAAACUUGGGCGAUGAGAAACUCUCCCUAUUUGGUAAACUCUUGACACUUCCACAAAUAACCUAAUUAAGAAUCAAAUCCAUUUUGCUAAUAAUAGAAGUACACAAACAUCAAUUUUUCAUAUACGCCAUUGUAAGGAUAAACAAAUAACCAAAAUUUAUUUUAUUUAUAAAAGCAGCGUAAAACAUGUCCUUACAAUGCAAAAUUCGAAUGAAAAACUAUGUAAUCAAAUACUCCUAACAAAUCUAUCAUAACUUCCUAAGCUCAAAAUCUGAUCUUUGAAUCCAUGCGAUCGUAAUCCAUUUCUUCAUGAUCAGACUCAUCUUGCUCUUCCAUCAAACUUCCUCUCUUUUCUCUAAACAUGCAAAUGUAAUCUUAUCACAUUAUGUAUAAAUAAUAGGAAUUUAAUGGAGUUAGAUAGUGGAUUUUAUACCUGAAAUAGAGCCAUACUUCUUGACUCUCUCAUCUCUUAGACUCUUCAGGUCCUUUGGGCAGCUUCGUAUCCAUUGCCCCUUCACUUGGCAGAAGAAACAGGUGGGUUCUUCUAGAAUGUCCACGGAAGCAUGGUUGGUUGAAUUACCAGACAAAUAUGCUCCAUUCCUUCGCCAAAUCAUUUCUGAUUCAGCAUCAAUAAGCAUGUAAGUUAAGUCAAUGAGGGUCGCGUCAAGAUCCAUCAUAUAAUACUCUCUUUUGAACUUAUCAUAUGAUUUAGGGAGUCACUGAAGAACCCAGUCCACAGCCAACUUAUUGCGAAAAGACGCACCCAACAUAAUCAACGUAUCAAUGUGUGAUUUCAUCCCUAGGACGUGAGCACACACGGGUUUACCCACUUCAUGUUCCAUUGCCAAUAGGGUUUCGGUGAUCUUGAACCUUUCAAAUCUUCGAUCUUGUGGGUCGGGGAGAACAAUAGGAGGAGGAGGAGGAAGUGAAAUCAAGCUAGUCCACAUUGAUCCUUCACUUUGGAACAAGCUUUCACUUUCAACAGGAUCACCUUUUCCUUGGGAUUCGGGAAGACCACGGUUAGAUUCAGACAUCUACAAACUAGAGAAAUUUCAAGUUAGUUGAUUGAAUCCUUAAUGAAACACCCAAACGAGACAUUAAGGCUAGAAUCCAACAACAUUAUUUACACAUUAGAAGAGGGAUGCCGUAAUCCAACAUGCAAAUAAUUUGGAGGUAAGUGAAUGACGAUUCACUAAUUCUUCACCAUGAAAAAACAUAAAGGCUUAAGUUUUAAAUGUAUUAAGAAUUCCUAGAUUUUCUUUGAGAUUCAUUGAACUUUUCAAUGGCAUGUUUAAAUCUCGAUAUGUCCCUCUCGUUUGUGACUGGGAUGCCGAGGAUCACAAAGUGGGUGUGAAUAACCAUGCAAAUCUACAUGGUGCCCUCAUUGUUACAGUCACCUAUUCGAUGUGCCGGUAAACCACACACGCUCCAUCGAACUAUGACAAACAUUGAGUCACCCUUUGCCACCUUUGCUUAGAACCAAUUAGUGUGCCGGUUAACCACACACGCUCCACUAACUUCUUAGCAAGGGUGCAAAGUGUAAUUUCAUGGGAUUGCAUCAAUUUCACUUUUGCCUAAAGUAACUAGGAUUGGGAAUUUGUAAAAGUGUUUAGUUACUUUACAUAGAUUCAUUAUACUUAUUAAUGAAGAGAGGAUUGCCCUAUCCUACCCGUUCGGCUAACGACCCUCCACCAAUCAAGGAAGCGGUGGGUAAGAGUGGAUACCCAUUAAACGGCCAUUUUAUAGGCCAUAACCUUAUACCCCCCUUAUAGAUCGGCUUCGUGAAUGAGGCCUACUAACGGUAAGACUAGCAUUUUAGUUAUACAUAUAUAAUAUUAGACUUUUAAUGUUAUAUAUAGUAUAAGGGUGUAUUUUACACUUUUAAAAUACUAGGUGGUUUAAAUUUUAUAAAUUACACUUUCAAUAAAAUAUAAAUCAUAUCAUUAUGGAUUUAUUAACUCUCUUUUAAUUAUACACUUAAUUAAUUUAAUAAAACCAUAAGGGUGUAAUUUGAACUUUCAAAAAUUAGGGUUUUAGAAUUUAACAUUUUACAAAAUUAAACUUUUAAUCAAACAAUUUAAAUUCCAAAACUUAAGGUCAAGUUUUUGAAACUUUUCAAAACAAUUAGGUUUUAAUCUCACUUUAAAAUUUUCGAAUUUAAGACUAUUUAAAUUAAAAUUUUAAAUAUUAAAACUCUUUAUUUAAUAAUUAUCUUCAAUUAAACAAUUAAUUUAAAUUAUUAAAUCAUAAGGGAUUAUAUAAAUCAUAAAGGAUAGUUACCAAUUAAACAAUUAAUUUAUCCUAAUCCUUUUAAUCCCUCUAAAUUUAGAAAAUCAUGGGAUAGGAUAAUUCAAAAUCUUUAAUUACCAUAUAUAACCAUUAAAGGAUAAUUACAAGAUAUGAGAUAAUCCAAAUCCCUAAAAUUUAGGAUCUUAUCUUGGGGAGGAGGCUAAUUUCGAAAAUCAUAGGGUUUUUCAAACCCUAGAUAUCGAAAUCUUGAGGCUUAAGGAAAGGAUUUGAAAACCCUUUUAAAUUUUCGCAAGUUAGGGUAUAGAAACCCUAAUCUCGAAAUUUCUAGCCUCCUAGGGUUUAUUGGCUAUAAACCCUAGUAUGUCAAGUUCAUACAAUUAUAUAAUACUAAUUGAAAACAAGUAAACCUAAGUCUCUGAUACCACUGAUGGGUUUUGUACAAACAAUCCUAUGUGUGCAUGCAACCCUAGAAUUAGAUCUAUGUUUUCACUAUUAGAUACACAAUAUUAUGAACACAUAAAGGAACCCUAGUAUGCCCUAGUAUUUUUCGAAAUUCAUAUAGUAGAUUAGAUUACAUACCUUUUGUUGUUAUAUUGUAAUAACAACUCAAAUCUUCAAACCCUAAGUCUUGAAAGCAAGUACCACAAGUAUGGUACCUCUAAUGGCUCACAAACACUAAGAGCAAAUGGAGAGGCAAGAGAGAGAGAGAGAGAGAGAGAGAGAAGAGGUAUGAAAUUCGUCCCUAGGAACCCUAGACAAGGCACAGACGAAUUCUUAUGGCCUUAGGGGUCUUUAUAUAGGUGGAGAGAUUAGGGUUUCAGUCCUUAUCCUUAUGUAGUUGCUUGCCCACCAAGUAACCAUAAGAUAAGCCUUGAAAAACCCUUAUCCUUAUCCUUUGGACGAUUUCAAGGAUAUCUUAUCCCUUGAAUCGUCCAACCUAUAUCUAGGAUAACCAUUACCAUAUUUUGUAAUUAUCACAUAAUUACAAUUCAGUCCCUCUUGUUUAAUUAAUUACACUUGAUCACUAAAUUAAUUAUUGACCAAUAUUAAUUAAACAAAUAUGAUUUCUCAUUUAAUAUAUUAUUCCUAUAACAUAUUAAUAAAUCAUAAUAACCUGUUUCUCUAUUAUUUCUCCAGUCAAGUUGCUUUGGUGAAGGCAACCCAAAAGGACCAUGCACAAUCAGGUCAAGUACUUACCAAAUAUGGUUACGGGCUUAGACACUAAUCCAACAAAUAGAGUAUAGGCUUUUACAAUGGAUGAUGCUUAUAUGGGAAUAGAAUUU
rnacentral:lncRNA from 1 species